ensembl:lncRNA
CAAAAUGAUCAUAUGAUGUACAGGAAUGCCUUCAUUCUGAAUUAUUGUUUUCCAUGGUGUCUCUUGGAUUUGGAUCUGGCUGUCCUUUACCAGCUAUUAGAAGUGUCUGACCUAGCUUUUGCCACAGUCCCCUCCCUGUCCCUUGGCCAAGCCACUGUAGGAGGUGCCCUGAGUCACAUCUUUCAUGCUAUCUACCCACCCUCAUGCUUUCCUGAAGGAACUUCCUCUACAGGUUGUUGUGGGAUGGGGGAAUCCAACCACCCCAGCAGGAAAGCAUUUCUUGUCCACAAGGGCUCUUAGCCAUAUGGACAAGUAGAAAUGUAACUCCAUCUUCAUUAGUUCUUAAAUUAAGCUUGUGUAGAAAGACUUUCUGGAUGCAAAACUUGCAUCACUUUAACCCAUUUGCAAGAUUCCUACAUUUGUUUUGCAUUGAGAUGGCCAAACAUUCUCCACUGUCAUGACCAAAUACUUCCUGUAUGUGGAGGACAUCCUAAUCUGCACACUCCUGUUACCAUACUGGAAGCUAGUUACAAGGGGGAAAUAUCCAAAAUCACAGCAGGUUAUCAUUUGGCAUUAUUAAUUACAGGACAGAGAAGUCUCACCAUUUGUUUACAUUCCAGCAGACAGUUUUGGUUCUAAUGAGCACUUGGCAGUUCUGUCUACGCAGUGAGGAAAACCCAUCUGCUCCAAACUGCGUGUAAACCUGUCAACAACUUACCCAACUCAGGGCCCUGCUCUCCACGCUUUACUCCAUCAGAGCUCCUUCUCACACCUCCCUGGGAGUACAGACAAAAUAGAAAACACUGUGUUGGGAAGUACUCAGAGCAUAAAAUAGUUACUAUCUUGACAGCAUGAAAUCUGCACUCUGUAUCCAGCAGCUCUACCAGUUCUGUAAAACACGCUCCACACGCACAUCUCUGACCACACCACAGAAAACCAAACACUCCCAAAUCAAAAAGCUUGUUUUUCACACCAACUACAGGUAAAGUACAGCUGUCCAGGAGGAAGAAGAAGGAGGAAUGUUAUAAUAGUCGGCCACUGUAUCUAAACCAAUUGGCAGCUUAAGUGGGGCUGUGACUUCCAAGAAUGAGCUGCCCACAUGCGACUGCUGUGUGAUUUUGACCAUGUUCCACUGCACCAGUAUCUGACCUGGCAAUGUUUAGUGUACCUGGGAAAUUUGUUUAGCACUUUGGAAGGAUAAAUUCAUCCUUUCUGGCAAGUUAUAUAAGUUUUCUCUGUAAGGAAAAGUGUGUUAGGAGGUUUUUAUUUUUUUAAGAAAAAAAAAAUACCCUAUUUAUCAGAGCUCUUGCAUAUGAAAAUAAUUUGUUUGCAGUUCAAGACUAAAGACAGGAAUGUUCUCCAGAGGUUCCCCCUACUGAUUAAUGACCAACAGUUCUGAUAAAUUCCCCCACCAUAAAGGUAAUUUCAUACUGGUUUUCACUAUGCAUUCUUUAAUGAAAGCUGGAAUGUUUUUCCAUUCAGUAAUUCAGUUAAAGUUCUCAGCACUUUUUUCUUUCUUCUUUUUUUUUUACUUGUUGUAUUAUGUUCAAAUAUCAUUCUGUCAAGGUUUGUGUACAUUAAUAAAAAUUUGUAUUGUAUAAAGCUUUUUGCAUUAUAAGGCUGUACAGGGUCAUUUUGACAGUAACUGGUAUAUUUCUUUGCAUUUUAUGUUGCAUUGCCAAUUUCUAGUGUAUCCAGUUUGGAAGUACAAUAUACUCUAAUUAAAAAGGUUGGCUAUAUUCUGG